AGGGGGACGAAGAUUAUGUGGAUGAUGACGACGAAGAUGAAUCGGCCGUUCCUCGCAUACCGGGGCCUAAAGACGAUCCGCCGGAUGAUUUAUUUGACGACGAACCAGUAGCAGGUACUGUGCACACAGAUAAGGAACAAUCCGGUGAACAAGCAAAAGAGCCGUUUGAUGAAUAUGCCGAUCAGAAUGGUGAGAAUCACGGUGACGAUCAUACUGGCAAGGGUGCAUCUGAGCAGAGUAAAGAUGCUGCUGAUCAUGUGGAACCUGGAAAGGUGAGGCACAGCUCUUGUUGAUGAAAUGCACUCGGGAGCAGUAUGAGACGGAAUGUGCGAGCAUUUGGCAAACAGCUUCAAACCUGAAGUGGGACUACUUGCCACAGCAGCUCUCCCGAAUAAGGUGGAAAGGUUGCUGUGGUCAUUUUAAAUGUCUGCACGCCUGCCUCACAAUUACCAAUAAAAAAGGGAGGCUUAUUGCAUAUUGCAGGCCGCUCACGAUUAUGAGCUGGAUAUGGGC